GACGAACGCUGGCGGCGUGCUUAACACAUGCAAGUCGAGCGGUAAGGCCCUUUCGGGGGUACACGAGCGGCGAACGGGUGAGUAACACGUGGGUGACCUGCCCUCAGCUCUGGGAUAAGCCUGGGAAACCGGGUCUAAUACUGGAUAUGACUCCAUGACGCAUGUUGUGGGGUGGAAAGCCUUGUGCGGCUGAGGAUGGGCCCGCGGCCUAUCAGCUUGUUGGUGGGG
rnacentral:rRNA from 1 species